UACAGAGGUCUCAAGCGUUGUUCGGAUUCAUUGGGCGUAAAGGGUGCGUAGGCGGCGCGGUAAGUCGGGUGUGAAAUCUCGGGGCUUAACUCCGAAACUGCAUUCGAUACUGCCCGUGCUUGAGGACUGGAGAGGAGACUGGAAUUUACGGUGUAGCGGUGAAAUGCGUAGAUAUCGUAAGGAAGACCAGUGGCGAAGGCGGGUCGU
rnacentral:rRNA from 1 species